rnacentral:rRNA from 1 species
AUUGAACGCUGGCGGCAUGCUUUACACAUGCAAGUCGAACGGUGACAGGCCGCAAGGUGCUGACGAGUGGCGAACGGGUGAGUAAUGCAUCGGAACGUGCCCAGUCGUGGGGGAUAACGCAGCGAAAGCUGCGCUAAUACCGCAUACGAUCUAUGGAUGAAAGCGGGGGACCGUAAGGCCUCGCGCGAUUGGAGCGGCCGAUGUCAGAUUAGGUAGUUGGUGGGGUAAAGGCUCACCAAGCCAACGAUCUGUAGCUGGGCUGAGAGGACGACCAGCCACACUGGGACUGAGACACGGCCCAGACUCCUACGGGAGGCAGCAGUGGGGAAUUUUGGACAAUGGGCGCAAGCCUGAUUCAGCAAUGCCGCGUGCAGGAAGAAGGCCUUCGGGUUGUAAACUGCUUUUGUACGGAACGAAACGGCUCUGGUUAAUACCUGGGGCUAAUGACGGUACCGUAAGAAUAAGCACCGGCUAACUACGUGCCAGCCGCCGCCGUAAGAC